UCAGAGAGAACAAAGGAUUUUGUGAAUGGAGCUUUAACUGGAGCGCGCGCAUGAGUGACGGCAGGUUAACGAGGCAGUGUUUACGAGGCCUGUCCCACCAGUAUGCGACUGACUCCAUGCGGCAGAUCCUAUGGCCACUACUAUAUCAGGGAGAUUGUUUGUGUCCUCCUUAGUGAAGACAGAUGUGUGGUGGAGUUGCCGUGAUCAUACUGAACGGGAGGGGACUGGACAGGUGUGCUGUACAACCAGUUCCUGUCGCAGGUGGACUUUGAGUUGCUGCGUGACUAUGCGCGGGACCUGGGGGUGCUGGUGUGGGAGAAUCCCCCCAAGCGGCUGAUGGUGGUCACCCCCACCGGCCACCCCGACGUCAAACGCUUCUGGAAACGGCAGAAACACAACUGACCACCCGGGGAAUCUCCCCACAUUCACGCCCCACC